rnacentral:rRNA from 1 species
UACGUAGGGGGCGAGCGUUGUCCGGAUUUAUUGGGCGUAAAGAGCGUGUAGGCGGCCAGGUAGGUCUGCUGUGAAAACUCGAGGCUCAACCUCGAGACGUCGGCGGAAACCAUCUGGCUAGAGUCCGGAAGAGGAGAGUGGAAUUCCUGGUGUAGCGGUGAAAUGCGCAGAUAUCAGGAAGAACACCCGUGGCGAAGGCGGCUCUCUGGGACGGUACUGACGCUGAGAAGCGAAAGCGUGGGGAGCGAACAGG